rnacentral:rRNA from 1 species
CCUACGGGUGACAGCAGUCGAGAAUCAUUCACAAUGGGGGAAACCCUGAUGGUGCGACGCCGCGUGGGGGAAUGAAGGUCUUCGGAUUGUAAACCCCUGUCAUGUGGGAGCAAAUUAAAAAGAUAGUACCACAAGAGGAAGAGACGGCUAACUCUGUGCCAGCAGCCGCGGUAAUACAGAGGUCUCAAGCGUUGUUCGGAAUCACUGGGCGUAAGGCGUGCGUAGGCUGUUUCGUAAGUCGUGUGUGAAAGGCGCGGGCUCAACCCGCGGACGGCACAUGAUACUGCGAGACUAGAGUAAUGGAGAGGGAAGCGGAAUUCUCGGUGUAGCAGUGAAAUGCGUAGAUAUCGAGAGGAACACUCGUGGCGAAGGCGGGUUCCUGGACAUUAACUGACGCUGAGGCACGAAGGCCAGGGGAGCGAAAGGGAUUAGAUACCCGAGUAGUC